CAAGAGGCUUUUCUAAAAUCCAUAUUUAGAUACCUUAAAUUAUUAU
rfam:Physcomitrella patens subsp. patens PHYPAscaffold_112 genomic scaffold, whole genome shotgun sequence.